AAACGGUGCACGUACGUACUUCCGUUUAGGAGUCAGGGGGUCAUGGUGACCGUUUGGAUAUAAUGGAAAAGCAGCGAAAACGGCUUCUAAAUCGUUGAACAAACAUGAAUAAAAGGCACAAAAUAAGGAAGUCGACGGUGAGGGCCCAGAAGCCUAUACAGUACAUCCUUGUGGUGCCAGCCGUUCUGCUGUCAAGCCAUAGCUAGCAAUCGAUACAAAAUCUGCCACUUGCCGCAGCAGAGGGAGGUGAUUUGUCUAGUUCCGGGGAAAGACAGUGUGCAACAGACUGUGUGAUACCGCAGAGGAUGGGCCGAUCUUCUACCCACGCCGCUUUGGCUCUGUCUUGGCAUGCCUGCGUCAGCUGGACGGAGCGCUCCUACGUCAGAGCUCAAGGUCGCAGCAGUCUCUAACCUCACGCGCGCCACCGCCGCCGCAGUGGGGGGAAUCACAAUCAUUUCCUUGGCCCCACCUCGCCGACGUCAUGGCAACCUUCAUUUAUUUACCAUCCCUUUGUCUCGUCAAUAAUGUAGAGCUGUGGCAAUAAGCAACGGCUCAGGAAGUUUAGGAGUUGUCCAGAAACUGUGAAGGUUCCUGGUUCGAGCUCAACUCCUCCUGAUCCUGUUGAAGUGUCCUGGAGCCAGGCACUUAACUUCAGUGCUCCCGAUGAGCAGUCCAUUUACCAUUGAUGGCACAGCUGCGGAGAUGGUUCAUACCUUUAAAUAUCUGGAGGUGCACCUCUCCAACACUCUCACCUGAGAGGACAGCAUCAAGAGUGUCAUCAAAAAGGCUCACCAACGGCUGUAUCUCUUAAGGAAGCUGAAGAGGGCAGGUCUGAGUACCAUCAUCCUCAACUCCUUUUGCAGGUGUGUGGCGGAGAGCAUACUGACAUCAUGCAUCACUGUGUGGUACUGCAGCUGCCCGCUGGCAGAGAAGC